rnacentral:lncRNA from 1 species
UUUGGGGCUAUUUAAUAUAACAGAUGGAAUAUCAGUAACUCCAUAGUUAUCAGAAAUGACUCCAAUAUACUUAGUUAAUACACGUAUUAAACAAAAUUACUCCAGAAAUCCACACUAAGAUCAAAUAACAUAACUAAUAACAUAACUUUCUACAACACAGAAAAUGUUUUUGUGACCUAGGAUCAAGAUGGUCAGAUUGAUGUAUAAGAGUUUUUAAAAAUAAUUCUGACCUUGCCUUACAGUGCUCAUAAACUAGACCCUUCAACGGUCUGACCCAUGGACAUGCUACUAUAUGACCCACCUAAAGAAAAUGGCCCCAGAAGGAAGUGUGGUCAGUGUCAAAGGCCUCACUUUUCAUAACUUUAUUCUAACCUGUUUAUUUCUCUUCCAUGAUCCCUUUCACCCUUUUGAAGCGAGAAAGCCUGAGUUAGACACGUCAUCAUCAUUUUAACAUUGACAAUAACAUUAAAUAAGAGUGAAGGACUGUAUCAGUUCUGAAACUCUACACACAUUUUCCAUAUUAUGUUGUAUUUUAUUUAUUGUGUGUUAACAUCGACAUUAUUAGGUAUACAGAUACAGAUGUCAAUGUACACAGAUAAUCUCUAAGUAAAAGAAAAAGACAACAAAGUUACUUGGGAGGCUGAAGUGGGAGGAUUGCUUGAGGCCAAGAUUUCAAGACAAGCCUUGGCAACAUAGUAAGACUCUGUCUCUAAAAAAUGAAAUAAAACAAAAUAGCUGGGUUUGGUGGCAGCACAUUCUUGUAGUCCUAGCCUAAUUAGGAGGCUGAGGUGCACAUUAUUCAGUUCAAACUUCCCUGUUUUAAAUGAUUAUGAAUAUAAGUUUAUCCAUUUCUUGAGCUGACAUGUCCCUUCAAGUGGGAAACCAUGGUGAGCGCCUGAUUCCCUUCUGUGUCAUAUUUUCCAAGCUAAGAAAUGUGUGAGGUCUGUUACUAAUGAAGUCACCACAGCACAGAGAUUGUUAAAAUCCUCAAACAUUUGAGCUGGUACUCAGUUUUCUUGGUAUCCUCAUACCUCUCAAAACUGUCUAACUCUUUGCAUAAGAAAUUUAGGUGUGGUUUUUUUUCCUAUGUUUAUCUUCUGUUUGUGGGUUGUGUUUUAUUUUUCGUGUAAACUUUUACAAUUAGAUACAGGGAAAAGAGGUUCUGUUAUUACUUGAUGAAUUAUGUACCUACUGUUAAGCAGUUUUCAGAAGAUAGUAUCCAAACUUUCUACGAUUUCAUACAUUCUACCAAAUGGUAGAAUGAUUUUAACCCAGUUCUUUGUAAUAUGCCUGCUCCACAGUAAGUGCCCAGUAAUCAUUUACUAAUUAUCCCUUGGAGGUACCUCCUGAAAUAUUUGUGUAAUACCGGAUUUUUAAAUAUUGAACUCUCAAAUGCCAAAAAUAAAAGAGAAUGUAUUUUUAACACACUCUUUUUUGGUGAAUGUGUGUAUUUGUGUUCAGUCUAGACUCAUUUGAGGCAAGAAAACAAUGUUGUUGCCUGAUAUUUGCUACUGAAAUUUACUUCAUUCUGUUUCCCUUUGUUUUCUAUAUGUCUGUGGCAAAACUUGUUUCUAGCCAUUUAUUGCAAUAUUCAAUGUGCACAGCUUUAAGCUCUCAGCUUUUUAAUAGACUUGGAAUUGAAUAGAAAAUUAUGAGAAUAUGUUUUCACACCAUAUUUUCAAAACAUAAGAGCUGCGUUAAGACAUCAAAUUGGAUUAAAUAUUGUAAUAUUAUUACUUCUAAAUGAUAUAAUUUUAUGUUAUGUUGAACUAGGUGAUAGUUCAUAGAUAGAUAGAUAGAUAAAUGUUAGACACAUAGAUAUACACACACACAUAUAUCCCUCAAUAGCUCAGUGAAAACUUUAAGGAGAUAUAUCUUAGGCCUGAAAAUUAUAACAAUAAUGAAAAAUAUGCCAAAUGAUACAAAUAAAUUGGUUAAAAAGUAUUGGUUCAGAGGAAUAUGUAGCAUGGAAAUAAAGAACUUGCAAAUCAACCAGAAGAAUCAGAAUCAUCUGCUAGAGCUUCGGCUUUGGUUUGGUUUGCUUUCUUUUUGAGACGGAGUCUUGCACUGUCACCCAGGCUGGAGUGCAAUGGCACGAUCUCAGCUCACUGCAACCUCCGCCUCCCAGGUUCAAGCUAUUAUCCUGUCUCGGCCUCCCAAGUAGUUGGGAUUACAGAUGCCCACCACCAUGCCCGGCUAAUUUUUUGUAUUUUUAGUAGAGACGAGGUUUCACUGUGUUGGCCAGGCUGGUCUUGAACUCCUGACCUCGCGAUCCACCCUCCUUGGCCUCCGAGAGUGCUGAGAUUACAGGCGGGAGCCACUGAACCUGGCCUGGUUUGGUUUGCUUUAAUGAAUGACUACUUGGCACACACCUUUCUUCGGGUAAAUUUGCUUUGAUUUUCUCCUGAAACAACUUUGAAUACUAGUCCAGGCUCUACUAAAUUCACAAAAAUAAAUAAGAACAUGUAAGGAUAUAAGCGCCCAAAUAGAUUUUGCUUUCUUGAAAGUAAGAAGCCAAUACACUUAGAAAACCCCUGAUAUACCUAGGAAUGACUUAAUUUUAAGUUAAUCCUUGGAAUUGGAUGGCUCAGCUAAAAUUGGAUUUUUUCCAAAUUAAUAGGAGGCUGGCUGAGUUGACAUGGCUAUUUUGAUUUUUUUAUUUUAUAAGUUGAAUUCUUUCUUUUCUCAUCCUCACUCUCCUUUACUGGGCUUUCAAAUAAUAUUAGCAUUUGCCCAUCAAUGCAGAGUAUACCAUAGAUCCAAUUAUUUUCAUUUUAUUCAUACAUACUCCACUUAACCCCCCCUCAAUACAUCCUCCCACUGGAGCAAGCAAAAAGUUAGUUUAUUGGCAACACAGAGGAACAUGCUCUGGAACAAUUCUCUCUUUUAUAUGUUACAGCAUAAGGUCACUGGAGCUAACCGUCUUCCCAAGAAGGACAUCUUUCUGAGGGUAUCAAGGAAGUGUGCUCAUCAGGAUUUCAUGCUUCCUGUCACUCUUCACAUCUUUGUUAUCCUGUACUGCUGAAGCAGAUUUUUUUAAAGUACAUGGGGAGUAGAUUUACACAACCUUUAUUCCCAGAUUGCAGGAGAGUGAGAAGCAAAAAAUAGUGCCCAGAAUUGGUGGAAUUAGAACCAAAAGGUGUCUCCUGUGACAUAAGCCUUUGGAGAGACACAAUAAUCAUGUCAUCUUCUGCUCUGUCAUUCACACAAUGUAUAGAACAAUGAUUUGACCAAGUAAGAAGAGACAAAGAGCCAAGAGUUUGUUUGGAGGCCGGAGUGAGCUUGACAGAACUAGAUGAAAUUGGCCACUGGGCACUGGGACCCAGAAAGGCCUCAUUGCCACAGAGUUGCAACAGAGUGUGGGGUCCCAUUAUCAGAAUCCUUUCUAUGGUGCAUCCAAUUGGCUAUGACUCUCCUAAGAACAGCGCUGCAGGAAAAUGCAAGUUCACAGGAUAAUGAAUGCACUGUUGCUUCUCUGCUGCUGACUUUUCCCACGAAUAAAACUUGUAUUUAUUUGUACUGCUGGUUCGGGCUGCCAUAAAAAGCACCACAGACGAUAUGGCUUACACCACAGAAACUCAUGUUCUCCCAAUCCUGGAAGCUGAAAGUCCAAGAUCAAAGUGUUGUCUGGGUUGGUUUCUUCCAAGACCUCUACUGUUGGCUUACAGAUGAUUGUAUUCAGUUCACAUGAUGUUCUUCUAUGAGUGCCUGUGUCGAUUUUCUGUUCUUAUAAAGAUAUCAGUCAGAUUAAAUGAUGGUUCACCCAAAUGACUUCAUUUCACCUUAAUUACUUCUCUAAAGGCUCUAUCUCCAAAUACGGUCACAUUGUGAGUUUCUCAGGGUUAGGACUUCAACAUGUACAUUUGAGGAGUGGAACACAAUUCAACCCAUACCGUGUACCAUGGUAGUCCCAAUGUCCCCAUUUUCCAACAGCAAAGUGUUUAUGGAAUAUCAUGUUCUACCUGUGACCUUUCUAUUCUCUCUUAUACAAUAUUAUGUCACUUUCAUAUCAUAGUUAAUUUUACAUGUAUUUGUUCCUCAUCUCCAAAACGGGUCUGCAAACUCCUGGAGAGAAAAAUCUGCAUUUGAAACUAGCAGGUGCACAGCAACUAUUAACUAAUAUAAAAUGACAUCUGAAAGAAACAAAGCCCACAAUUUUUUUCCCAUGCCUGUCAAUAGAGACUUCAGAAACAUAUAGUUAUUUUGAAGAAAAUAACUUUAUAUUCUUUAAAAACUAGAUAGUAAUUUGAAAUCAUACUUUCAAUGCUACAACAGACAUUUAAAUAGAGGAAAUAUCCACCUCCCAUUCUCCAAUCACCACCUCCCUCAUUUCCCAGCAUGUUUAGAGUUCUAGCCUUCACCAAAGACUGGUAUACAAGAAAGCAAAUUGAAAAUCCAUCAUUUUCUGGUACGGUAAGGCUCAUUUAUUCAUUCAAUAAGGAUUUAUUGCUUUGCUGUGAUGUGCCAGGUAUAGGGCUUGGUGCUGGUAAUACCUUAGUGAACAAGACAUAGAUAUGCAAUAGAAUAGUAACUGAGUUCAGAUUUUUUACGUCUCAACCACUUCAGUGCAGAUUAGCAUAUGAAUGAACUAUACAACUUAUUUUCCGUCACAAUUUUGGUCUAGUCUUUGAUAUUCUUCUUCUAUCCUAUGAAAUAGCUUUUCUUUCAUAAGCAGAAGAAGAGCAGAAUGAAAUAGAGAGCUGUGCUACUCCUCGGCCAAUUUCUUUAUAAAAUUACAUUUGGAAAUUUCUAUUUAAUUGGUCCCUCCAAAGGCUGUGAGCUGAAAAAUUUAUGGGCUCUGAUAUGGUGACAGACGAAAAGUGGUCCAAGUAAUUUUUGAAAGGUGCCUACCAAAAUAAAUGAGUUUUUACCAGUGAUAUCUCUAUAAGGACUCUUGGUACAUGAGGAUUCGGGAAUUUGGGGAUUUAUACUCUAUUAUACUUAGGACAUCUCAUUAUAGAAGUGUGUCAUAUGACACACUCUGGGCCAACUACAUUUUUUCAUGACAUUUUCUAACUGGAAAUAGAAAUUCGAUCCUCCCAGUGAUCCCUACGGAAUGGGAUGCUUGGGAGCUGUCUGGUCAUGUGGAGGGAAGUCCUGAACUCAGCAGUGAUAGAGAAUGAGGUCCACACAGACUCUGGAUUAUACUUUGUGUACAAAGCCGCACACUUGCACUUCUUGUCACUACCUCCACAGCUGAUUCCCUGGUCCAGUCUUCACCUCUCACCUGCCUGCUAAAUGAUCUUGCUUCUCCCUUUGCCCCCAGAUUGUCUCUUCUCAAUAAAUCACCUGGAAUGAUCUAUUUUUAAAGUCUAAGAGAGGUAUUGUUACUGUGCAGCUCAAAGCUGUCCAGUGCUCCCCAUUUCAUGCAUAGUAAAAGCUGAAGUCUUUCCCAGGGACUACAAGGAUGUCCCCUAUCUGUCCUCAUUACCUCUGUGGCUGCCUUUUAUAAUGAUGUCCCCUAUCUGUCCUCAUUACCUCUGUGGCUGCCUUUUCUAAUGAUCUCCCUCUGCACCUCGGCACUUCAGAAUAGUGCCCUUGCUCUUUAGAAAUACUCCCUGUGAAUUAUUCCCCAGCAGAGAGUGUUCUCCCAGAUAUGAAUGUGGCUCUCCCUUGCCUACCUUAAGUUUUCACUAAAAUGUAGCCUUUCCAGCCAUUUCUGACCUGACUACUCUAUUUAAAAAUCAAUAAAUUUGGCACAUGUCUCCCUUCUUUACCUUAUUUUUAUCUAUAUCACAUUUCAUUAUAUUCUUAUGUACAUUUUCAAUAAACUUCUAUAUUUCUUGGUCUGUCUCUACCCUCUAGAAUAUAACUUCCCACCCCCAGUGCCUAGGCCAGUACCAGGCAGGAAGCUGGUAGCAUUAAAUAAAUAGUUAGGCUAGUAACUUUGAAUUAAACUCAUGGAGAGAUCAGGUCAGGCAAACCUCUGCAUUGUGUUAGGGUAACAUUUGGAGAACUACCAAUUAAGCUUUGUGGAAGUGCUCAGCUGAGGAUAUACCUUGCCACUCAUUUGCUGGAAUUCUGGUAUAAAUUGGUGGGAGGUCAAAGAGACAUGUGUCUCAAACAGUCUUUAACUUCAAAACUGAGUGGAAUGAGUCCUGGAUGAGGUAUUUUGGAUGGAAAACCAGACACAAACUACAUGCAAUAUAUUCUUUACUAAAUUAACUAACCUUAAAAAUAUGUUUUAUAAAUUUCUGAACUAGAAAUUCAAUUUGAUACCAUCUUCCACCGGCCCACAUUUGUUGUUUUAAAUAAAUUUGGAGUCCUUUGGGCACAUUAAAAGAUGGAGAAUGUCAGGUCUGCUUGGAUAUGUUCAAGGCAUGGCCCUGUUUGCCAUAGACAUGGGGUUUAUGCAAACAUGGCUAUUCCUCUAAGGCUUGCAGUCCACUCAGUUUUGGAAUCACAGUUGCAGAGAUUUCUUAAUUUAUUUGUCUGUGUCGAUGCCUCGCUUAGUGCUUUGAGUGUUGGAAACUUCCUCAACAAUUUCUGCAGUUCUACCAAUCUUUGCUGUGGGUUGCACAAAACAAAG